CGCAAUUAAAGAACACACAGAGGUAAAUAUCCUUGCGCAGAACUCAGCAGGAAAGAUCCAGAGAGAAGCCAUGGCUGGUUUGCAAAGAUCUGCCGUGUCUUUUAGGAGGCAAGGAUCUUCAGGUAUUGUAUGGGAUGAUAAGUUUUUGUCAGGAGAGCUAAACCAGGUCGCUAACCAAAACCAAGAACACCAACAACAGCGAGAGCUACAAGAGAAGCUAGAUAUCAAUCAAGAAAGGGAUGUUAAGCCAUCAUCAUCAGGAUCAAUCACUACCAUUGAAAGAAGCCGAUCUAACGGUGGACAACGAGCCUACCGCACCGGCAAGGUCUCUCCGGCUAUCGAACCUCCUUCUCCAAGGGUUUCUGCUUGUGGAUUUUGCAGUGCUUUUGGAAAACCAACAAAGAAUCAUCGGAAAAGGGCCGGUAAGCCCAGAUCACGAUAGUUUUCCACUUUUUACGGUAGCUGGGGAUGGAAUAUUCCGGUGAAUUUGGGGGGAGAGGGAUAUGAUUAAUUACAGUAUUACCACUAUUUACAUCUUCUGUCAGGGUAGGGUUAAGACCUCUCGUUCAGCUCACUAGACUGAAACGCAGGGGCUUGUUUUUGGAACAGAACCGAGCUAUAUUCUUUUUCUUGUCCUGUUAAUUUAGCCAUGAUCAUUUCAUUGAGUUUCUCUUUUUCCCCUUAGAUUUUAGAGAUGGUUUUCUGUUUUAGCCGGAUCCAAUUAUGUGUAUAUGGUUUGGUUCUUGAUCAGGAAAUUUUACUUUUGUUCUGUACAAAAAGAAAAUCUCGAUUCUUUCUCUGUUCUUGAUAAUAUUUUUGUGUGAUU
rnacentral:lncRNA from 1 species